GUUCUUCUUGAUGAGGUACACGCAAGCACCCCCUUUGACUCUUCGGUUUAUACUAUAUCCUACUUCAUUCCAUUUUCAAUCAUCUCGUUCUCGCGCUCGCGUCAUAUAAUCUUCUGGAUUUAUGUGAUCAAAAUAGUGUUUCUUUUCUAAUAAAGCACCCUCCUUUUGAACAACUACUUAUUUUCUUGUGUGAAUUGAUGCUUCAAAAAAAUGUUUGUGAACUCAUCGCUUGCUUUUAACUACGCAGGACUUUCUUGAAGGAGAACUAUAACUGUCCACAGAAUUUUUCAGGUUGCCCGUGCUUCCCCUCUUCAUUUGUCCCGAAUUCGGUCUCGUCCGACGACGAGAACAUUUCGUGGUGGGAUACUCUGGGAUGGGUCAUCGUCGGCAUAGUUGUCGUCGCGGUUGUAAUCUGUAGUUUUCUUUUCUACUUUCGUCGUGGUCCUGAGGACGCAGAAAUCACUCUCCCGGUAAACGUGGAAAUCUCCCUUUAAUAGGACACUGCGAGCAUUUCGUUUCCGUUGUCGUUAGCGUUCUUCUCCUAGGACAAUAAGAUCAAGCUUCUGGGCAUGUGUCUGUGUGAAACUCGAAUAAUUUAUAGUGACAGGUCGUCUAUUCUAUUAUCCAACAUUGGAGAUUUGAUGCAACAAAUAAUUGUAUUGGAGGAAAAAAAUUGUGAUUAAGGGUUUGCUAAAUUUCGGUAGUUCUAUGGUCUAUCAAGAACUGGAUCUUCGGAUUUAUCGUGACAUUUUCAGAUGUGAACCAUUAAAAGAAAACUAAUGAAUCACAAAGGAACAUUUAGCAUAGACUAUUACAAGGUCAUACCAAUGACAACUUUAAGAUUUUGAUUUAAUUAAUUAAACAUGCAAUUUAAUUCAUUUAGGAGUUGCCACCAUAAAAGGGGUAUGUAAAAAUGUUGGGAUCGAUUUUUAACAUCCAUCUACACCCUCACUUCAAACAUAAGGCUUUAUUGCCUCAAUUUCUUAUGCACAAAAUCUUCAUGAAGGCGAGCGCAGAGCAUGCCAUCAAGAUAUAUCCUAGCUUAUUAUUCUAAGAUUUAUAAUAUGUAAUGGAAAUUUGAAGAGAAAAAGGGAAAACUGUUUAAGCACACAAACGCUUGAUUGCUUAAGGCUAGUCUGCCUUUUUAUGCAUAAGGGAAAGAAAAGAUAAGCAAGAUUGCAUCAUUGGUAACGCAAGCAUAUUAAUGCCACUUUAGUCUUCAAUAAGGGGCGGAGCUUGAAGAAGCAAAGUGAGCCUAUGGUAGCAGCCUAUUAUGUUUUUCAGGCCCUUUGACUUGAUAUUCUAUUAGUCAAGUGCUAGCGCCCCCAUAGAGUCAGGCUCUUCUGCUAUCAAUGAAAUUGAAAGACAGACAAAAACCAGUGCCUUUUGUAAACAUGCGAUUCACGCCUAUGACUUACAAUUAAUACAACACAAGGACUCUAACACUUAUUACAACAUCAUGACUCAUCUUAAAACAUUUAUUACAACAUGGCUCAUCUUCGUGAUUUAUCACAACAUGACUUCUUUUUAUUUUAAUUCAAAAGAAAAUUGUAUUCAUUACUCAAAAGGAUACAUAAGUACAUAGUGUUCAUGACAAAACAAAUCGAAACAGAAACAGAGCAAGAAUAGUCAAACGGAGCACCAGCAAAGUUAACCACACACUUGUUCCAAGAGAACAUAUCUAUCGAGCAAAAGCGAAGAUCGUGUAUCAAAUGGCAACCUUUGGCCUUGGUUCAAUAGACUCACUUGUGAGAGGAGUAUAUUUAGUGCACAUGUGAGGCGAGCCAUAAAGAAAGCCUUACAUUGGGUAUUUGGAGUGAAAAGGAAUGGAGCAAUUGUAAUACCCUAAUUUUCAAAAGAUGGUCAUGGUCAAUCAAAAAGAGUAGAUCAUGUGCACCAAUCAAAAUUGGAUGGCAUGAUGCCAUGCUAAAUAAUCAGGAGUUAUCAACCACCACUCCUCAUAAUGUCAUAAAAUUUCCGUAAAUGUAUCACAUUAAUUAGCUAAUUCUAGAUUUCACUAACAAUUGUGUUAAGAGAAAUGGACAUAUAUCUUUUUUAGUCAUAAGAGUUAACGUAAGCUAAAGGCUUUAGACCGCGCACAAUUACCUUCUCCUGGAGUCUCUUGGUCCAUCAGCUUUGACGUCUGCAAGGAAACCUCCCGAUCAGAGAUACCAUUGACAUUUCUUCUUUCUCAAAUUGGAUAGAUAAAAGGCAAAUGUAAACCCAAGUAAUCUGAAUGAACUAGUAUAUACUUCCUCAAUAAGCCUGAUUGCAAGGGAAAUUGCAAGUCAUAGUUACCAAAUUGCCAAAUCACAUUCGAAUUCCUACCAAACAUAAGAUCGUCCAACAUCAAAGGUAAGAAAAGAGAUGAGUAUCUAUUGUUCUAUAUUCCAUCUUCAGGAAAUAACCAAAAAUUAAGUCGAUUUAUAACCAUAGUAAAAGUAUGUAGCAUAUAAGUUCUUUUCAAUCCAUAACUAAAAGCCGAACAGUCAAACUGAUGAGCUAAAUGCAUCUUUUCAAUCCAUGGGGGAUCCAACCUACUCAAUAUAACGUCUGAUCCUCCCAAGUUCCUGAAACAUCCCAUCUCUUUUCCUCGAAAACACAGCUGCCAUUGGAUCACUCUGCAAGAAUCCAUUAAUCAAAGUUAAUUAACCUUUAAGCAAGCUCAAAUUUGGGGAGAAGAAAAUAGAGGAAACACUAAAAAGCAAAAAUCUCUUAGAAUUGACUGUACUUAUUGAAAGUUUUAUAAUUCAAUUGCACUUUCGCGAUAAGUUUUAAAGCUUCUAGUGCAAUUAUUCUUUCAAUUGUUAGAUUUGUAACUACAAACAUAUUACAUCUAAUUCAACUCUUAAUCAUCAAAUUCAAAUUAUUGCACUAUUCCAUUUACAUUGCCAAAAGGCAUAAUCUAAAUUUAGAUAGAUAUUUUCCUUUAGAAUAUGAUCUCUCUCCACAUAGACAUAUAGAUAUAGAUUUUAACACUUUUUGUUCAUACUGAUGUGGGCUUGUAAACUAAGCUGCGAAGAUUCCACGGAUUGGCUCUAUUCCACAAAAUUGGCUUUCUAUCCCUCUACAAGCCCUUCGGUCUCUCCUUUGUUUAGUUCCCCUUGCCUGGGACUCUUUAGACCAUGUUCACAAUUUCAAUAAAAUUUUCUUUGACCCAAAAAGGACGAACUUCACCUUUUUUGUUGCCCCCAUAGGAUGAUCCACAUGAGUCAAUUCUUUCUUCUUAUUCUUCUUCUUUUUCUUGGGUCUGUCCAACUUUUCCAGACCAAUAAUUGCGAGUGACCAUCGGACGAAGAAGACAAGACAGAACAAUGGCAACACUUAUGGGUGGUGUGGGUCCUGGAAACUGAGAUGUUUUUUUCAAUCCAUUCCCACCUAAAAAGCACACUUUUUAAAUGAUAAGUAACUCUUCACAUGUGCCCGCCGUAGGAGUGCAUGCGCUAGCACAUGGACGUGCUAGGUGGGUCACUUUCACAUGAGUAAUAUCCACUUCUAUGUGUAUAAAGGAGUGCAUGCACUAGCACAUGGAUGUGCCAAGCGGUUCACUUUCACACGAGUAAUAUGCACUUCUAUGUGUAUAAGUGAGUGCAUGUGCUAGCACAUGGACAUGUUAGGUGGGUCACUUUCACAUGAGUAAUAUCCACUUCCAUGUGUANNNNNNNNNNNNNNNNNNNNNNNNNNNNNNNNNNNNNNNNNNNNNNNNNNNNNNNNNNNNNNNNNNNNNNNNNNNNNNNNNNNNNNNNNNNNNNNNNNNNCUAUAUUUACUUGUCACGACCUAUCCCUUCGUACGGAGGAAAUAAGUUUAGGGGUAUUGUCUAAAAAACAAACCUAUGAUCUAGUGCGGGCUCUCCUAAACUCAUACCUCUCACAACUUUAAAGUAUUCGUAAAAAAAUUCUAAUAAAGAGUCCCAACUAGUCUAUUGAGGUUGACUAAGAACCAAGUGACACAUUAAAGUGUAACUCACCUCCUACACAACUAAAGAGUUUAUGGUUGGGGACUUAAUUAUACUUAUUAAACAAUUAAUACCAUUUUGGUACCUAAUCUUAUUCAUUCAAAAAGAUUUUCUAUCAGGUAGUCUACGUUAACGUUAGACAUGUUGACUAAUAUGUAAGGUGACCAUGCGAACAUGCAAUCAUUAACAUGACAAUUAGCAACUAAAGUGACAUCAAAUAAAUUGCAUUGGGAGAGCAAGAUCUAGCAUUAUCAAAUAAGGAGCCUGCCAUUUCUAACUAAGCUAAAGGGAAACCAUAAUCAACAUAUGGAAAAUGUGUAAUCAACGGCAUUUAUUUUAAGGAUAAUUGGAACCUUAUGGUAGAGCUAAAAGGGCUUGUUUAAUUUUUUAACAAAAUUUUCUUAUCAAUGAUUUUCUCAUAACUUUAAGAGAGGGCAACCUUGAAGGAUUAUUUCUAAGCAUUUUCUGACUUUAGGAAAAAUAAAAAUAAAAAAAAUUCGGAAUUUUUAAUUUUUUUUUAAUUUUUUUUUCAAUUAAUUAGUAGUCCGAAAAUAGGGACCUGGCCAGAACAUGGAUGAACUUGGACUUACGGUUUAGACUAGAGGGAACAAUUGAUCUUAUCCUCAAGCCCACCCCAUUUCUGCCACUUUGUAACUGAGUGCACUAAACCCAUCUUACCAAAAAGAACUCAGCCCGAGCACUUCCAAAAAUGAAGGCAGCUCGCUAAAUUCCAUCUUCGAUUAUCUUGAUCUCACGCUUGGAUCAUAUAAUCUUCCCAAUCUAUUGUGAUUACAAAUAAUAAUGUUUCUUUUCUAAUAAGGUACCAUCUUUUUUAAAAUUACCACCUUUUUUUUUCUUCUUGUAAUAUGAACGAUGCUUCGAAAGAUGUUUGCAGGCUCACCGCUGGCGUUGAACUACAGGAGGAUUUUCCUGAUGGGGAGCGAUAACUGUCCACAAGGUUGUUCGGGUUUCCCAUACUUCCCUCCUCCAUCAGCACGUCCACAAGGUUGUUCGGGUUUCCCAUACUUCCCUCCUCCAUCAGCACGACAUCGGUGCAUGCCGGGACACUUCGAGGUGGAUUACUAAAAAUCGUCGUGGUCCCGGGGACAGAACCGCCACUUCACCGAAAUUGAUAUAGAAGCUUAAUAUUCCAAAAAUAACGUCAGUGCCGCAGUUGCUGCAACCGGGGCCAACGCAGUUGUCAUCGCCGGCAGAGGCUGAUGCCGCGAUGACGACCUCAUUGCAGCAAUUGCCGCAGGGGGAGGCUGAUGCGGCGAUGACAACCUCAUCGCAGCAGUUGCCGCCGGUGGAGGUUGAUGUGGCGACGACACUGUCAUUGCCGAAGUGGCCACUGAUGCUGCAGUGGAUGCCGCCGUCAUCACUGCAGCCAUCAUCGUCAUCAUCGUCGUCGCGGUCGUUGUCACCAAAGUUGUCGCCACAGCAGCUGCUGUCGUGUUGUUCGUACGAUGAUCAAAUGAUAGAAUUACCGUGGGUGGUAAUUGAAUGAUGCAUAGUGACAGUUCGUCUGCUCUGUCGCAUAAUAUUUCAGAUUUGAUGCAAUAGAUAUUUUUGUUGCUGGGGGAAUAAUGUUCGUGUUGGAGGGUUCAUUGAAUUCAGCAGUUUUAGUCCAUCGAGAAAUCCCGUAUCAUAACAAAUUAUGCCUUUUCUGAAUUUCUCGUAACUCCUAUGAAAAAGCUGCAAUACACAAAAUCUUGAAGAUUUUAUAAUCAACGGACGAGAUUUAUUUUUUCUUUAUCCAACGGUCAUAAGUAGUUACGUUUCCGUUCUCAAGGGGUAUUCGUAACACCCUUAAUAAAAAGGUAAGAAAAGAACUUUUAAAAAAAAAGAAGCCCAAAACAACUUUACAUCUUCGCCUUGCGCAGGAAAACUUCGGCAAUUGUCGUGGUGACCUCCCGACUUCUGAGGGCAAAUAAGAUUGGCAAGGAAAUUGACGGAUUGCCAAGGGUGCGUUAGCCACCGGCCCUUGUCUGGCUAGCGACCAGCUAAGGGGAAAAAGAGAGGAAGAGUAAAAGAAGAAAAGAAAGAAGAAAUUGCUUGUAUUUUAAGUUGUUCCCAAAAACUGUUUUUCGUUUUUCGUUUCUCCGUUCUCGAGAAUAAAAAAAAAAUUACCAAAUGUGAUUCUAUUUUAUUUCUGUUGUGGAGAAUAAAUAAAUAAAAAAGAAGAAAACAUUUAUUCUCGGGAGCAUUACCAAACACAUUGUAAGUGGUUCCUCUUUUUGUGAUGAGGCAUGUACACUUAGCACGGCCCUUCCAAGCCGUAUUAAUCAUAAUUUGAUUUUUCAAUCCAAUUACACAAUUAUCUUGGAGACGCCACUAACUUAUUAUGGGUCAAUUGGCAAUUCAAGUAAGAUGCAGAAGUACAUUUCACUCCUGUGGACUAAAGAUUCACAAGUUGAUUUAGUUGCGCUGAGAUCUUUCAGUAUGAGAACAAUUUACAUGCGAACUUCACCAAUUUUUAUUCCUUAAAUCCUCUAAACAUAUAAAAAGUGACUGCAUAGUCAGUCAAGUUAUAAAAAUAAACAAGCGAGCAAUUCUAGUAAAAAGCUGAUAAAAUAAAUAAAUGACAGGAAAAAUAAAGGACACGAGUCGUUUCAUGUAAAAUCAAACAAAACCUUGUUAUUAAGGCCUGGGACAAAACCCCGUGAGCUAUAAAUGUAAAUUUGGUAUAAACUCUUCAAGAGAUGCCUGAUGCUCAAAAAGGAAAGUGAAUGUAUGAUAUGUCAUGACCAUCUACUAAAUAAACUACAUUCCUAAAAUGAAUUGUUGCAUGUGAAAAUUAAGUCUUAAAAAUGCAAUAUAAAGCGCAUGCGAUAUUAAGAAAACAAAUCUAUUUGUGAAUGUGCAUGGUACCUUAAAUGCACCCCUGAAAAUACUUUUAAAUUUUUUUAAUAGUUUAAGAUACAAAAAAAAAAAGACUAAGAAAAUUAACUAAGUGUCGCAAUAAAUAUGAACUAUGUCUUAUAUGCUUCAAUCAACUUAUAUUACAUAUUUACAUAGUAACUUGGACACCGAAAUCACAAAUAAAAAUUGUCUAUGUCAACACCGAUGGUAUCACAUAAAAGGACUAGCAUUCAUGUCAAUUUCCAUUGGCUAAUUUUUGUUAGAUUGACUUAAUCGGCACAAAUGCAAAAAUGUUUAGAACUUAAUUGUUCGUACACACACAGAUAUAUAUAUAUAUAUAUAUAUAUAUGUGAUUGAAUUUGUACAAUUAUAAUAAGUUUAUGACCCUUUUGAUAAUUUUCCUGACCAAGAGCCGCCAGCAAUAAUGGAGGAUAGAAGAGAGCUGAGAGGCCAUCUAAUCAAAAUUGGCACUCCUUUGCUGGUUGUGUAAGAAUUAUACCUGGUUGUGUAAGAAUUAUACCAAUAACACCACUCGCCUCGGUUCUUCUUGAUAAGUUACAAGCUCCUUCGACUCUUCAGUUUGUGCCAUAUCCUACUUCAUUCCGAUUUUCAUUCUUCUCCUUCUCGCACUCGGGUCAUAUAAUCUUCUCCGUUUAUGUGAUCAAAAAAGUGUUUCCUUUCUAAAAAGGCACCCUCCCUUUGAAGAACUACUUCUUUUCUUGUGUAAAUUGAUGCUUCAAAAUAUAUCUGUAACUUAGUCGCUUGCAUUGAAAUACGCAGGGUUUUCUUGAUGGAGAAUAAUAACUGUCCACAAAAUUGUCCGUGUUGUCCGUGUUGCCCGUACUUCUCCCCUUCGCCCGAUGGCAAAAUUUCAUCGUGGGAUACUCCGGGAUGGGUCAUCGUCGGCAUCGUAGUAGUCGCCGCCAUAAUAUAUGGUUUCCUUUUCUACUUUAAUCGUGGUCCUAAAGACACAGAGGGCAGUCUCGCGGAUGAGCCACAAAUCUCCGUCGGUACAGGCGGUGUGAACAUUUCGAUUCCGUUGUCGUUAAAACUCUUCUCCAAAGGAUAGUAAUCUGCAAGCUUCCGGGCAUGUUUCUGUGUGAAACUUGGAUGAUGUAUAGUGACAGAUCGUCUAUUCUAGUAUCCAACAUUGGAGAGUUGAUGUAAUAAAUAAUUGUGUUGGAAGAAAAAAAAAAUUAUGAUGAAGGGUUUAUUAAAUUUCUGUAGUUCUAUGGUCUUUCAAGAAAUGGAUCUUCGGAUUUAUUGCAACAUUUUCAGGGGUGAACCAUUAAAAUAAAACUAAUAAAUCACUAUGGGAUUGAGGAUCAGACCAACCAAUCCUAGGACCAAGAACCGGACCAUCCAGUCCAAUGCAAUGGAACCAACCACUUAGCAAAAAAAUUAGAAAAAAAUUAAUAAUAUACUAGAGCUAUUACAUUUUUAUGGUAUAUUGCUAUUUCUAAGAAAUUAAAAAUAUUUAAAAAAAAAAAAAAAAGAAUCGAUCCAAUCCCAUCCAGUUCCCCUCAGAAUUAGGAAGCGGACUGAAAUCGUCAAUUCCAUUUUUAUGGAACUGGAAACUGGACCAACACCUUUGAGAACUGGAUCAACGUCCCUAGGAAUCGAAUUGAAUCGAACCAGCCAAUCCGAUCCGAUUCGGGCGGUCUGAUAUGCUCACCCUUAAUUAAUAACUUUUGCAUUUUUAAAGUGAGGAUGUACAUGAAAGAGGCAUGCCUCACGGCAAAUCAACAUAACGGUAAUGUCAUUAACGUUAGAUCAUGAUUAUCUGCUACGUGAAUUGAAAGUUCCCAACUCUUUGUCAUGUUAUAAUGGCUAUCUAUAGUGUGCUUUGGUCCACUCGUCAAUAAUUUUUGCUUUUUCAAAGUGAGGAUGUACAUGAGAAAGGCAUGCCUCACCAACCAGUGAUGUUGACUUGCCGUGAGGCAUGCCUUUCUUGCGGUAGGACUUUCAUCCAUCUCUUCUCACUCUAAAUGCGAGAGGCUACUUUAUUUGUCUAUCCUGUGAUAACCAAGAUUGUUCCACUCGUCAAUAAUUUUUUCUUUUUUAAAGUGGGGAUGUACGUGAGAAAGGCAUGCCUCACCGACCAGUUAUGUUGACUUGCCGUGAGGCAUGCCUUUCUUGUGGUAGGAUUUUCAUCCAUCUCUUCUCACUCCAGAUGUGAAGGCUACUUUACCUAUCUAUCCUGCAAUAGCCAGGGUUGGAUAACCCUCACAUGAUGUCUACCUUCACCACUGAGUGGCCCUUAAUUCCUAGUUAAUUUUUUUCUUCCCGACUGAGAAGGAAUACGGGAGCAAUAUUGCGAGGUCUCGCACCCCUUGUUUCUUUCCCUUGAGUCUUUUAAGGACUUGCUUAAAUCAUGAUCAUGAUUAUUUGGCACGUGAAUUGAAAGUUCCCAGCUCUUUAUCAUGUUAAUUAAUCAUUCCUUCUUAAGUACAUCCUCACUUUAAAAAAGGCAAAAAUUAUUGAUGACAUAUGAACAAAAGGUGGGGGCCCCGAAUUAAAGAGUUCCACAUUCCCAUCAUUCAUUCUGGAGUCUUUGAUUAAAUGUGACUUGACAAUCAAGAUGCCAACAAUGAGCACUGGGCCAGUGGCCACGGUCGGUCGAAGCAUCAUUUGAAGUUCUGGCAAAAUCCAAAAAGAAAUCAUGUAUUUAUGCGAAAGGUAUAAUCAUGAUAUGAAAUCGUGUAUUUAUGUGAAAGGUAUAGUCAUGAUAUGAGGUAAAAGAACGCUUUAAGUGCCAUAACUUUGCUCAAAGGGACACUGAAGUGCCAUAACUUACGAAAGGUACACUUAAGUGUCACAUUCGAAGAAAAAUGGAUCACUUGAGUGCCACUCCAGCUAAAGUCUAGCCAAAAGGCUGACAUGGCAUUUUUCCGGCGAAUUUCCAGCGAAGUGAGCCCAAAAUGACGCCGUUUUGCACUCUAACGUGGCCAAAUAAUGCAAAAACGGCGUCAUUUUGGGCUGACAUGGUAAAAAAAUAAUAUAAAAAUUAAAUAAAUUAAAUUUAAAAUUAGAUUUAGUUAAAAUAUUAAAAAAUAAUAAUUUUAAAAUUAGAUUUAGUUAAAAUAUUAAAUAAUAAUAAUUUUAAAAUUAGAUUUAGUUAAAAUAUUAAAACAUAACAAUUUUAAAAUUAAAUUUAGUUAAAUUAUUAAAAAUAAUAAUAAUUUAAAAUUAAAAAGGGGUGGGGGGGGGGGGGGGGAGGAACAUGCGCUACGAAGCUCGGAUGGCCCGCCUUCUUGCAGGGCAUUUGUUUCGGAAGAGAUCAACGACCUGCGUUGCCGAUGGGCCUUUAAGCUAGGCGUAUAGGGAAAGAAAAUUGAAACACAAAGUUUAUAGUAGUUCGGCUUAGACCAAGCUUACGUCUACUCUCCCGCACUAGCAGCUUACUAGCUGGAUUUCACUAUGAACCAAAAGUGAUUUUACAGUCUCAUGUUCUUAAUUUCACAAUGUAGAAACUUUACUACACUUCAUCAAAGUCUCACAAGUGUUUAAUCUCUUUUUUUAGUACAACUUAAGCUCAGCGAUAGAGACAGCAAAGAACUAAGAGCUUCGGAUUUUGGAAUUUUUCUUUCACGCACACAUUCGAACAACUUGAGUGUCUUCCUUAUAUACUCCUUCAUGCCUCUAUAUCCGUUGGGACUUUCCAAAGAAGUUCUUCCAAUCUACCCGUUGGAUAAAAUCAAUCAAAGAGAUCUCGAGUCAUUUAAGGAAUGUGAUAAUAGUCCACCAAUCCUGCUCGCCCAUAUAAUCGGGAUUUAGGUUUCCAUAAGUAAAACCUUCCAAGUAUACUUCGCCUUUCAAAAGUUCUUGAUUAUCCAAAUUGAUUCUAAUAAGAAUAAUUGAUCACAAUGUGUUAUCUCUAGCCAUAAAAUCUUCUUCAAACCGUACAAAUCGAAUCCUUAAAAAUAAACUCGCAUCGGAAUAAGUCUUAUCUUCAUUGGUCAAGAAACUGGCAGUGUGGGUUGACUUUGAGUCUUGAGUCUUGCAAUCUUCAGACUUUGACGAUAGAGUCUGGAGUUCAUCAGACUUUAAUAAUUGAGUCUUGAAGUCUUCAGACUAGACUGAUGGAAACGUUUUGUCACUUCAAAAUAAGAGAGUUUUCUCCAAUAAUCUCCCCAUUUUUUAUGGUGACAAAACUUUCCUGUAGAUUUGAAUGCCAUUGACCUACAAAAAAAAAACUCAAGCAGAACAAGAUAUCUUAUAAAAUGUGAGUAGAUUAGGACAAGAAUAGUAACGAUUCUGCAAUCACAGAAAACACGUUAGUCCUGUAAAAUAACUAUCCUUCCUUAAUCAUUGUCAUAGCCUAAGUUACUGUAAGCAUCAAAAAAUCAAAUCAAACAGUCGAAAAAUCCAAUCCACAACCAAACAAAAGAUAAGUCCAAAAGUCAAAUAAGUCCAAACCAAUAGUCAAAUAUGCAUAUACUUUCUCUCCCUUUUUGUCAACAGCAAAAAGUGGAGAACAUAAAAAGAAUUGGCUAAAAUCAAGGUUGCUUGGGAAUGCGAACAAGCUGGAAAUCUCCCAUAGACUUGACGGUCUCCUCCAACUUCCUCAGAUCCUUCUUCAGUUGUUCUAAAUCCUCACCCUUUUCAUUUGCUUGAACUUGAAGAUUAAGGGCUUGUACUUGGUUGUGCAAAGAAACUGAAGUAGCUUUAUGAGCAUUCUACAUGGUCUGAAAUUCACAUCCCAACCCAUAAAUCUGAGCUUUAAUCUCCAGAAGAAGCUCGAGCAAUCUUUUAAAGUAUGCUGAAUUGUCAAUUUGAGUACUUGCUUCAACACGAUCAGAUUGUGGAGUAUUAACUGAUGAUGGAACUUCAUCAUGUAUAUUCAAACUUGGAGAUGAAGCCUUAUUACCAUUUUCAGGAAAUUGAGAGGCAUACACAUCUUCUGGAUUGGCAGGAGAACAACUAAUAUCAUCACUAGUAAAAGCAAGUGAAGAAGUAGCUCUUUUAUCAGCAACUCCCCCCGUUUUAGUGCCUUCAGGUGGAGAAAAGUAUUCUUGUUCUUGCUCUUCUUCAAUAUCACAAAUAUCUUGUCCUUCUUCCUCUGCACGAGAAUCACCAUGAUCCUCUUCUUCUGCUUGUUCUCUUCCUUUCUCUAUAUCUUUUGUUCUUCCUUCUUCUUCUUCUUCUUCUUCCCUCAUCGCUUCUUUCUCUACAUCUCGCUGCUCUAUCUCUUCUCUGUCUCGGUUCUCUCGAUCCUCUGUGUCUAUAACAAAACUCUGUAAGUUCUUUAAAGCAAGAGCAGAGAUAGUGAUGUCAUCCUCAUCUUCUUCAUCCUCCAAGAUGAGUGCUCUCCUCUUCUUAGAUGGUGCUGUCAUGGGCUCUUUGCCUUUCCUUUUUCCAGUCACAAAGUCUUGUCAUGCCUUGACAGGGGUCUUCACCUUAAAGCACUCCAAAGCCUUGUUUAGCUCAUUCAAACGCAUCUUGGAAAUCAUUUUCAGUCCCACUAUCAUUGGAUCAAUGGUUCGAACACACAUAAUUUUGGGAGGCUGAAUGUUAAGAUGUCAAAACAAACAAGUGAUAAGAGCAGAAUAAAGGAGUUGUCCCUUAUCGUUUACCACUGUCCUAUACAUGUGCAUAAAGAUAGUGUGAGGCAGAGAUAACCUAAAACCAAUAUUAAUGGUGUACAUCAGCUUUGCUUCAGAGUUUGAGACAUCAGUCUUUGAUAUGGAUUUGGGUCUGAGACAGUUAAUGGCAAUCUUGUGAAGUAAGAUAUUGAAGGCAUUCAUCCUGGAGUAAGAAAUCCGGCCUUCAGCAAUUUUAUCUCGAACAAGCGCCAAGGAAGCACGAGCAAUAGACACAUUGAUUAGUUGGAAACUCCAUCUUUCCACCCCAAUCACAUCAGCUAGAGUGUUUACAUCAACCACAAAAUCCUAGUCUCUAACACUAAAGGAAAAGCUAUUCGCAUCUAAAAUGGAUCAAUUGGAAUAGAAAUAAGCUGUAAGUUUCAGAUGAGCAACAGUUGUUUCAGAGCAAAACCAUUCGAGUUAAAGUAAUGUAAACUUCUCCCGUAACUUCACGUUUAAUGAAUUGUGAAAAUCAAAAUCCACACUCCUAGGUUUCAUCACCCCUCGUUUUAGCAAUUUAGAAUAAGCUUGCUUGUGCUCCUUAGAACGAAAAAGAUCCAUUCUUGUACCAUGAAUGUUCGCAGUGACACCCAUCCUGGGCUUAAAAUGUGUGAACAUCCUCUCAUCAUAUUUUCCUUUAGGUUGAUUUGAAUGAUCCAAAUCGUGGAUCACUUGGGAAAUUUGCAAAAGCCCUUUCUGCCAAACCAACAGUAGCAAUGCCUAAACUCUCCAUCGUCUUUAAAAAAUGAGUUACAUAAAGGUCAAUGGAGAACCAUAUUCCUUCAAAAUGGUGUAGAGUUUGAAAAGAAAUGCGGGCUUAAGAGUCCUUACAAGUUCUACAUUCUCAAUUAUUUCUUCAUCUGCUUGUUGUUGUGAAGGCACUUGAGUUCUAGCCUGCAAAGAAUGGCGCGGUUGAGAAUCUUGGUGUUGACUUUGCUAAUGCCUUGGAGAGUCUUCUUCCUUGAUUAAAUCAAAGUGCGUAAGACCCUCACGCAUAUACCGUGGUCCCUUGCUUGCGAUCCUAAAGGACUUUCUUUGGGAAGACAUUGUCACAGUCUUUGAGAGAUUUCUCGAACUUGAUUCGCGAAAAAAGAUGAGAACUUUAUGGAUUAAACUAGUGAAAAAAAAGUGAGAAAGUGAGGUUCUAUGAUCUAGAGUUUGUGAGUGAAAACAAAGAAGAAAAACAACAAUAUAUAAAGCAAACAAAACAAGGUAUACGAAUCGUCAUAAAAGAAUAAGUAAAAACUGCCUUUUUGAAAAAGAAUAACUGCCAUAAAUUCAAAGAGUCGGAAAAGAUAAUUUCUAAAAAUAUAACAAUCAAUUAGUGAUUAAAAAGUAACCGUACCCUUUUAAAAAUUUAAAGUGCUGAAAUCGAAAUAACUUACAGUCGUAAAUUUUAGUUAUUCUGAAUCUGAAUAACUUCAAACUUUACCUCUGAGUCUAAGCAUCUUCAGACUUUACUGGAUAAAGGUUGUGAUAUUCAGUCUAGUGUGAAUAGACUCAAAUAGGCCUUUCUCUAAAGGUUUUGAAAAUAUGUCUGCCAAUUGAUUCUUUGAAUCGAUGAACUGUAUCAUAACUUCUCCAUUCUGAACAUGAUCUCUAAUGAAAUGAUGUCAAAUCUCUAUGUGUUUUGCUCUUGAAUGAAGAAUUGGAUUCUUUGUAAAAUUGAUUGCACUGGUGUUGUCACAUUUGAUCUUGGUGCACGAGUCUUCGAUUCCAAAGUCUCUCAGUUAUUGUUUUAUCCAUAAAAUUUGAGAAUAGCAACUUCCAAGAGCCAUAUACUAUACUUAUGCUAUUGAAAGAGCUAUAGUGCUUUGCUUCCUUGAGAACCAAGAUACUGUCCUGUUUCCUAACAAUUGAUACGUACCAGAAGUACUCUUUCUAUCAACUCUGCAUCCUACUAAAUCUACGUCUGAAUAUCCAAGGAGGGUAAAGUCUCCUUCUUUGGGAUACCGUACACCUAAAUUUGAAGUAGUUGCAAUGUAUUUGAUUAUGCGUUUUGCAGCACUUAGAUGAGAUUCUUUUGGAUCUAAUUGAAAUCUUGUACAAAUGUAAACACCAAAAAAAAGGUCAGGUCUAGAAGUAGUAAAAUAAAGAAGUGAACCAAUAAUGCUCCUGUAAAGCUUUUGGUCAACUUUCUUUCCUCCUUCAUCUUUGUCCAACUUCGAAGAACUUGACAUUGAUAUUUUAGUCUUUAUACAAUUCUCCAAUCCGAACUUUUUAACAAGAUCUUUUGCAUAUUUUUCUUGGUGAAUGAAAAUUCCUUCCUUCAAUUGAUUCACUUGUAAUCUGAGAAAGAAAGAUAGUUCACCCAUCAUACUCAUCUCAAAUUCAUCAUGCAUAGACCUAGAAAACUUCUUGCACAAGUUUUCGUUAGGUGACCAAAUAUGAUAUCAUUAACAUAGAUUUGAACAAGUAUAAAAUCUUUACCUUCUCUUUUAAUAAAUAAAAUAAUAUCCACUUUACCUUUAACAAAAUCAUUCUGAAUUAGAAACUUCCUUAACAUGUCGUACUAAGCUCGAGGUGCUUAUUUUAAUCCAUAUAGAGCCUUCUUCAAUUUGAAUACUAAGUCUAGUCUUUUUGGAUCUUCAAAUCCAGAAGGUUGUUCCACAUAGACUUCUUCUGGAUAAAUCCAUUUAGAAAUAUGCUUUUGACGUCUAUUUGGAAUAACCUGCAAUUUUUAUAGCAAGCAAAAGCGAAUAAUAAUCUAAUUCCUUCUAACCUUGCUAUUGGUGCAUAGGUCUAAUCAUAGUCUAUCCCUUCUUCUUGCGUAUAUCAUUUGGCCACGAGUUUUGCUUUGUUUUUGACCACUUUUCCUUUUUUUUCUAUCUUGUUCCUAAAAACCAAUUUAGCUCUAAUAAUGGAUUUACCUUUUGGUUUAGGAGUUAAUUCAUAGACAUCGUUGAUGCUAAACUAUCUGAGUUCUUCUUGCAUAGCUUCAAUCCAGCUUUCGUCAACUAAGACAUCUUUUAUGCUUUUGGGCUCUAUUUUAUAAAUAAGUGCCAGAACACUAGACUCUUCUCGCAUUUUGGAUCUGGUGCAAAUCCCUUCAUCAAUGUUGCCAAUGAUGAGUUCAUUGGGAUGACUAGACUUAUGCUUCCAGUUACUGGUCGGUCUAACAAAUUGCUGAUUUUCUACUUCAAUUGAUUCUUUCGUUCGUUGAUGAUCUUUAGAAGUUUGAGUUACUUCAGGGGAGGUAGACUUUGUAAGGUCUGGAGCAAGUUCAGAUUCCUCAGGUUGAGUCUGAGUUAGUUGAUUAUGCAAAGAAUCUUGGAAUUUGACAUUCAUAGAUUCUUCUACAGACUGAGUCUUCUUGUUGAAUACUCAGUAGGCUUUGCUUAUGGUUGAGUAGCCAAGGAAAAUUCCUUCGUCUAAUUUCUCUUCAAACUUACCAGUUUGAUCAUUUGUAUUUUUCAAAAUAAAACAUUUGCAACCAAACACAUGAAAAUAAAAAUAAAAAUAAAAAUUGGCUUAUUUCCUUUGAAUAACUCAUAGGGAUUUUUCUCUAGAAUAGGCCUUAAGAAUACUCUGUUAAUAAUAUAACAAGCUAUAGAAACUGUUUCAGCCCAAAAACGAGAAGAAAUAUUACUUUCAAUUAAAAUAGUUCUUGCCAUUUCUUGCAAAGAUUGAUUUUUUCUUUCCACAACUCCAUUAUGUUCUGAAGUGUAUGAAGAAGAGAAAACAUGGUGAAAACUAGAUUCAUUACAAAAUUUGGCAAAGUCUUGAUUUUCAAACUCACCUCUGUGAUCUGUCCGUAUGCUUGAAAUAUCAUAUCCUUUCUCAUUCUGAACUUUCUUAGCAAACUUUGAAAAGUAAGCAAAUGUUUCAGACUUACUUGCCAUAAAGUAAACCCAAGUAAAUCAUGAAUAAUCAUCCACAAUUACUAGGCAAUAUCUCUUUCCACCAAUGCUUUGAGUUCUGGUUGGUCUAAAGAAAUCCAUAUGCAGAAGCUGCAAAACAUGAUUAGUAGAGAUAUGCUUUAUUAGUUUAAAAAAGCUUCUAACAUGUUUUCCCAACACACAUUGUGUGCAUAAGUCAGACUUUUGAUACUUUAGGUUGGUCAGUCCACGAAAAAUAUUCUUGGAUGAGAUCUUGGCAAUUUGCUUUAUGUUAACAUGGGCAAGCUUUCGAUGCCAAAGAUUUACUUCAUCUUGAAUCAAUAUUAGACAUUGAGAUAUUUCUGGUUUUAUAUCCAUAAGAUAAAUGUUCCCAUGUCUUCGUCCAGUAAAAGAUUGAGAAAGAUCUUUACUAGUUCCCGAACAUAUUCCUUCUUGAAAGUUGAUUUUGAAUCUAGUGUCGCACAAUUGGCUAAUGCUGAGUAUAUUGUAAUUUAGUCCUUCCACCAAGGAGACAUUGUUGAUUGUGAGACUUCCAAUUUUUACAGUUCCACACCCAACAGUUCUUCAUUUGUUGUUUCCAUCAAAAGAGACUUUUUCACCAUUUAUUUGCACAAGUUUUAUAAAAAAAAAUUAAAAUCUCCAGUCAUGUGUCUUGAAUAGCCACUAUCCAAAUAUCAUUUAAUUUUUUUCUUGAUAGUGACUUGCAAUUACAAAAAGAACUUAAGCUUUCUUUGGUACCUAGAUCUUUUUGGGUCCAAAGGAGUUAGUUUUAAACACAGUCUCUCUCCAAUCCUUCUUAACAGGUCUCCAAACCAUAAGACAAUCUUUCUCAAAAUUUUUUGAGCUGUUGCACUUUGAACAUUUGAGAGCACUUCGGCCAACAACUUUUACAAAGACUUUUUAAAAAUGAUUUCUAUAAAAAUUUGUUGUAGGUCUUUGUUUGAUUCUUUCCUUUACCUUUGGAAAAUCAAUUAAAUGAAUGGUUUCUGGGGUCAUUCACAAUCUUGACUUGUUGAAAUAAGGUCUUUGUACUGAAAGAAUCUUUUCCAACUUCUUAGAUCCUAUUGAAAAUCUUUUUGAAAUAUUUGAAAUCUCUUAUUUGAAACCUUUUAAAACCACAAAACUUUUGUCUAGAUUUUCAAACUUUUCUUUUCAAGAAAUUUCUUGUUGCUUAAGUGUAAAAUUCUCCCUUUUUAGCUUGAAAAUCCUCUUAAGAGAGAUUUUGAGACUGAGACAAAGUUCAUCAAUGUAUUUCGAGACUUUAGUAAGAAUUUGUAAAUUGCUUACCUCGAUUUCAUUAUCUGAGUCUGAGUUUGAGUCUAUUUUAGAGUCUAAGUCUGAUCUUGAUUUUUCCAUUAGAUAUAUAUUGGCAUAAUCUUCGUCACUUUCUUCACAUUUAGUAUCACUCUUUGUCUCUACGUUGAGAGGUUUUCUGUAUUUCUCAGCUUUUCCCUUCUUUUUAUUCAACAGAGACAAUUGAGUUUGAUGUAUCCCUUUUUCUUGCAUUCAAAAUAGAUUACGUCUUUGUUGGCUUCAUCAUCCUCAGUUGAUUUGUUUUGAAACUUUUGAAUGCUUUGUUUUUUCUAAUUGAAUCUCCUUCCCUUUUUGUUUAGUUUCCUGAACCUCAUUAUCAUAAGUGCUAGCUCUUCAUCGUCCAUAUCAUCUUCAGAGUCUGUAACAUUAGAAUUAUCGUUAGAUUUUAAAGCAAUUAACUUCUUACCUUUAGGAUCUUCUUCCUCAUUGAUUUGCUCCACUUCAUAAGAUUGAAGUGUACCAAUCAACUCGUCUACAGAAAGCGGCAUGAUCCUUUGAGUUUCCCUUAUUGAAGUAUUCACGUAAUUCGAGUCUUUAGAGAGUUCACGUAGCAAUUUGUUAACCUUUAUUGGUCCUGAGAUUGGCUGUCCCUAAUACUCCAGACUGCUUACAAUCUCUGUAAAACGACUAAACAUGUCAGUGAUAGAUUCUCAUGGCUUCAUCUUCAAGGCUUCAUAUUGUCCGAGUAGAAUAUUGAUCCUUAUUUCUUUCACUCGAGUAGUACCUCCAUAGGUAAUGUGCAGCCUAUCCCAGACUUCUUUGGCUGUUUCACAAAAAGAAAUUACGUUACGCUCAGUAGGAGAUAAAGCACAAUAUAAAGAAUAAAUUGCUUUAACAUCAAGAGCUUAUCUCUCGGUUAUUUCUUCUUGUGUUAUCUCGUUGACGUCUACAACUUCUUUUCCUCGUUCUGAAGCUAUGCAGCUUUAGGAAUGAUUCAUUUUUUCUACCACAUCCCAUUCUAGAGAAUUUUUUGAUCUUAGGAAUGCCUUCAUUUUGUUUUUCCAUACGCUGUAUUCCUUUCCAUCAAAAUAAGGAGGUCUGGUGUUGCUUUAAUCUUCAACCAAACUUAGAGCUAACAUACUAGCUAUAGAUCCUUAACUCAAAAGUAAAAAAAACACUUCAUUUAAAUGAGCACACAAACUCUGAUACCAAUUGAUAUGGCUAGUAAGGACACCUAAAGGGGGUAAGUAGGUGUUCUAGCAAAUUUAUGCUUGACUUUUAACAAGUUAACUCGUCUUUCAAGAAUAACAGAUUGAAUAUGUAAAAGACUAUAAGCAGUUAGAUAAAUCUACGAAUUAAAGCAAGGAGUAUAGGAAAAGAGAAUUGAAACACAAGGUUUAUAAUGGUUCAGCUUAGACCAAGCCUAUGUCCACUCUCCCGCACUGACAACCUACUAGCUAGAUUUCACUCUGAACCAAAAAAGAUUUUUACAAUCACGUCCUUGAUUCCACAGUGCAGAAACUCUACUACACUUCCUCAAGGUCUCGCAAGUGUUUAAUCUCUCUUUUGAGUACAACUUAAGCUUAGCUAUAGAGAAAGCAAAGAACUAAGAGCUUCAGACUUUGGAACAUUUCUUUCACGCACACACUCGAACUAUUUGAGCGUCUUCCUUAUAUACUCCUUCAUGCCUCUAUAUCCAUUGGCACUUUCCAAAAGAGUUUUUACAAUCUACCCGUUGGAUAGAAUCAAUCAAGGAAAUCUUGAGUCAUUUAUGGAAUGUGAUGAUAGCCCACCAAUCAUGCUCGCCCAUACAAUUAGGAUCUAAGUUUCCAUAAGUAGAACCUUCCAAGUAUACUUCACCUUUCAAAAGUUCUUGAUUAUCCAAAUUGAUUAUAAUAAAAAUAAUUGAUCACAAUGUGCUAUCUCCAGCUGUAAGAUCUUUUUCAAACUGUACGAACCGAAUCCUUAAAGAUAAACUUGCAUAUGAAUAAGUCUUCUCUUCGUUGGUCAAGAAAUUGCUAGUGUGGGUUGACUUUGAGUCUUGAGUCUUGUAGUCUUCAAACUUUGACGACAUAGUUUGGAGUUCAUUAGACUUUAAUAACUGAGUCUUGAAGUCUUCAGACUAGACUGAUGGAAACGUUUUGUCAACUUCAAAAUAAGAGAGUUUUCUCCAACAUAUGAAUCUUCCAUUUCGAAUGAGGUUGUCUUUGUGAGCACCUAGAGGGGGUAAAUAGGUGUGAAAACAAACUUUUGCAAAGUACAUAGUAAAACUUUGUUUUUAACCUGAGUCUAUUUAACAAUAGACUUUAAAAUAGAAACGAGGCUCUAACAAUUAAAUAAAGUUACGAGUAAAAUAAAAGAGUUUAAAGAAGAGAAUAAGAUCACAAGGUUUAUAGCGGUUCAGCUUAAUCCAAGCCUACGUCUACUCUCCCGCACUGAUAGUCUACCAGCUGGAUUUCACUAUAACAAAGAACAAGGAGCUUCAAACUUUGGAAUUUAUCUAUCACACACACACACUCGAAUAACUAAAACAUCUUCCUUAUAUACACCUCCAUGCCUUCAUAACCAUUGGCACUUUCCAAAGGAGCUCUUCCAAUCUACCCGUUGGACACAAUCAAUUAGGGAGAUCUCGAGUUAUUUAAGGAAUAUGACAAUAUCCCACCAAUCCUGCUCGCCCACACAAUCAUGAUCUAGGUUUCCAUAAAUAAAACAUUCCAAGUAUGCUUCGCCAAUCAACAGAUCUAAAUUACCCGACUUAAAAUCAAAACGAAUAAUAGAUUAUGAGAUGCUAUAUCCAGCCGAGAGAUCUUCUUUAGUCGAUAGAAUCAAAUCCUUAAAGAAAUACUCAAUUCUGGAUAAGUCUUAUUCGACGGUCUAGAAACUGUCAAUGAGGAUAGACUUUGAAUCUUAAGUCUGGUGGUCCGGCAGUCUUCAAACUUUGACGAAAGAGUCUACAAGACUUUAGACUAGACUAAUGGAAACGUUUUGUUAGCUUCAAAACAAAUACGGAAGUUUUCUCCAACAAUCUCUCCAUUUUUUAUGGUGACAAAACUUUCCUGUAGAUUUGGAUAUUUUUGACCUGCAAGACAAUACUCAAGCAAACAAUGAUAUCUCACAAAAGAUAAUUGGCUUAGUAAAGAUAGCAUUAGAUCUGCAUCCACAAGAAAUAAGAAAGUUAGUCCUGUAAAUAAACAACUAUCUUCGCCAUGAAAUACCAACAGUUCUUAAGAUACUGUAGCAAACAUUUAAACGAUCAAACAAUCUAAAUCCAAAUCUAGUCACAACCAAACAACCAAAUAAAAGUAAAGUCAAUCAAAAGUAGAGUCAAACAAGAGUCAAAUCUCAAAUCUGUACCAUCUCCCCCUUUUUGCCAUCAUUAAAAAGGUAGAGAUGAAAAGAUAAUAAAAUUAGGAUUGCUUUGGAACGCAAAUAAGCUGGAAAUCUCCCAUCAACUGGACAAUCCCUUCCAGCUUUUUCAAAUCCUCCUUCAGUUGAGCCACUUCUUCACCCUUGGCAUUAGCUUGAAUUUGAAAAGCAAGGGCAUGAAUUUGAUCAUGCAAGGAAACUGAAGAGGCUUGACCUGCAUUCUGCAAGUUCUGAAUUUCGCAUCCCAGGGCAUAAAUCUGACCUCGCAUCUCCAUAAAAAUAUCAAGCAGUCUUCGAAAAUCUGCUGAAUUAUCAGUCUCAGUGCUAGCUUCUACAUGAUCAGUAAGAGUAUUGGCAGAUGAUGGCAAGUCAGCAUGAGCACUAGAUUUGGCGAUGAAACCUCAUGACCUUCCUCAGGAAAUUGAGAGACAUAGAUGUCUUCUAGAUCUGUAGGUGAACAGCUAACAUCUUCACUAGUAAAAGCAAUUGAAGAAGUACCUAUUUUCUCAGCAACUCCCCCAAUUUCAUUGCCUUCGGGCGGUGAUAAGUACUCUUCAUUCUCUGUUUCCUCUUGUUCACCUCUGUCCUCUUCUUCCUCUGCAAUCCUUUCUUCCUCUGCUUCUUUUCUCAUCGAUUCUCUCUCUCCACUCAUUUGCUCUUCUUCUUCUCUGUCUUGAUCCUCUCUCUCCUCAGUCUUUGGAACAUAACGUUGUAGGUUUCUCAGUGCAAAGGCGGAAAUGGUGAUUUUGUCCUCAUCUUCUUCAUCCUCCAAAAUGAGUGCUCUUCUUUUCUUGGACGGAGCAAUCAAUGGCUCUUUCCCUUUCCGUUUUGCAGCUGAAGAACCUUGGUGAGUCUUGACAAGGGUUUUCUCCUUAAAACGCUCCAACACUUUGUUCAGCUCCUUCAGACGCAUUUUGGAAACCAUUUGAAUAUCUGGUCAUCAAGACCACGUGCAUUCUUUAAGGUGACAUACUGAGUCACCAAGCCCACAUGCCUUCUCCAAGAUGACAUACCUAAUUACCGAGCCCACAUGCAUUCUCAAAGAUGAUGUACCUAGUCACCGAGCCCACGUGCCUUCUCCAAGGUGAUGUAUCAAGUCACUGAGUCAACAAUUCAUAAUGUCUUUCUUCGAGACGACAUGCUUAGCCAUCGAGCCAACAUAAUAUAACGCCUUUCUCCGAGAUGACAUCCUUAGUCAUCGAGCCAGCGUGAUAUAUUGCAUAAUCAAUUUCUCAUUUUUAUCACGCCCGAUAAAGAUACACAUGUGUGGAUACACGUCCGGCCUUAGCCAAAAUAGUAUAAUUCCCUUUCCACAAAUCUCACUAUUUUUUGUAUAUCUUUUUGGCAUUGUCAACCGAUGCCCGGUUGUCUUUCAAUUAAUUACUCAAAAAUAAUUAAUUUAGGAAUAAAUCCUAAAAAUCAUAAUUAAAUCAAUUCAAUGCAAAUUAAAACUCGAAUAAAUAAAUAGACUGUACCAUGGUAAUCAGCAUAAAAUUCCGGUCACCAACUAUUCCAGUUGAAUUUUCAGAAAAUAAAUAAUUAAUUAAAUAAUUACACAAAUUAAUUAUUAAAUAGCAAUAAAUCCAACUUAUGCCCGUAAUGCCUAAUUGGACGCCGAAACGGACCCAGAAAAAUUCCGAGGUUCGUUCAAUAAAUACUAGAACUUAUCUACUCGCUAAUGGCUACAUCUAACCACCUAACAUGCAUUGGCAAAUCACUAAUUUAAUUACUCUAAUCUAAUCUAACCACAUAAUCAUGCUUAAAUAAAUCUAAUCAAUUCCUAAAAAUCAUUAGUCUACUAAGUGAGGAUUAGUGAGUUAAACUCAUUUGUUUAUCGAAUUGUUCGGUUCAAUUUGACGGGAACACGACAAGAGCCAACUUUCUCCAAAGCGGCCUAGAUUUCAAGGCCCGGAACCAUCUCAAAACAGGCCAAACAGCACCUUAGAAACCCACUAAUUUUCUAUUUUGUUCUUGCUGAAACAGAAGGGAACAAAGCCGGUUUAGAGCGAGAAUUGAUCGGGAAUGGGUGAAAGGGUCAAACCGGGCUUUGGCGGAGGCUUACCGGUGGAGGAACAGUGAAGGACAACUCCAGUUGAGCUUCACACAACCUAGGGUAGCAGCUAGGACAUGCGCUGGAUGGUGAAACACGCCUGGAAGGCAAGUUAGACGUGGCUGCAGGAACGAGAUCGCACAGGUGGCGUGUGACGGCACGAUUGGCGACGGGCGGCUCCUGCUGUCUCCGGCGAUGCUACUGGCUUCUUGUUAGCUACUGGUGGUUGAAUAGGCUGGGAGGAGAGGGAAUGGCUAGCCAGUUGGCCUGAGGAGCAAGGAGAGGGGACAAGGACUCCACCAAUGUCCAAAUUUUUCAUUCCUUGGUCUCCCUUGACCAUUCUCAGCCACCAGCCCUUCCUUCGCCUCCAUUAGGCCACCAAUGCUCCCCCUCGCAAUCUUGAAAUGGUCCAAAAGGCUAGGUAAUGGGAGGCAUACGAAUUUCCCAUAAUUUCUUCUCAAUUGGCCAUCAAUCCUUCCUUGAAUCAACACAAACCGGCCUUAAUAAAUUCAAUUGACAUCUCAAUUAUCAAAUUGGUAUUUUUCCUCACCAAUUGAUCCAUCUUGCAUCACCAUUGCGUGAUAAAAAACGAUCUCGGCCUUUUUCUGAACAAAAAUGGUCCUACCUCGACUUUUUCCCAAAAAGUCUUGGUUUGCAAAAAAAUCUUCUAAAACUGAGUCGAUGGUCCUAUAAUUUAUUGUGACAUGACAGAAUCUUCAAUUUUUGAAAUCAUACUCAAUUUCACGAUAAAUUUUCAUUUGGUGCAUUUUUAGCGUGAUCUAGGCUACCGAAUAACUUUCAGAACUUUUUCAGUGCAAUUGACCCGUGAUCAAUUUUCUUCGAACCACAAUGAACCUACUUUACACAUUGGCAACUCUCGGUUGUCGUGAAACUCUUGAGGAUUCAAAAACAAACACAGGGUACCGAAACAAUAAGAAAAUUAUUCUAGUGUCAGCCAAUGAGAAUUUUUCAAUUUAGUGAGGUCACCCACGAUUAGGCACACAUCUCAAUCGAACCAACCUAUUUCUAAUCUCAAAUCGAUUUUUAACUAUGCCGUAAUGGCCUCUAAAGAUAAACACAAUCGAGUAGCUGAUUCCUGGUUGAAUUCUCAAGUUUAUUAUCUUAAAAUUCCUUAACGGCUUCCCUAGAUGGUUUAGUUAUCUCAAGAGUGAUCAGCUCAGAGAACAGCCCUAUAAGCACAUCAAUGAAAUGUCCAAUUAAUUCAAUAGAAAAUAGAAUUGGAAAUUCGGGAUGUCACACAUACCAUCUAUUUUCCUCAAGAACACAAUUGCCAUUGGAUCACUCUGCAAGAAUCCAUUAAUCAAAGUUAAUUAACCUUUAAGCAAGUUCAAAUUUAGGGAGAAGAAUAUAGAGGAAACGCAAAAAAGCAAAAAUCUCUUGUAAUUGACUGUACUUUUUGAAAAUUUUAUGACUCAAUUGCAUUUUGGCAAUAAGUUUUAGAGCUUCCGGUGCAGUUAUUCUUUCAAUUGUUAGAUUUGUAACUACAAACAUAUUAUAUCUAAUUUAGCUCUUAAUCAUCAAAUUCAAAUUAUUGCACUAUUCCAUUUACAUUGCCAAAAGACAUAUACAUAUAAUCUCCCUUUCCACAUAGACAUAUAGAUAUAGGUUUUAACACUUUUUGUUCCUUUGGAUGUGGACUUGUAAACUAAGCUGCGAGGACUCGACGGAUUGGCUCUAUUCCACAAAAUUGGCUUCUAUUCCUCUGCAAGCCCUUCGGUCUCUCCUUUGUUUAGAUUUCCCUUGCCUGGGACUCUUUAGACCAUGUUCAUAAUUUCAUUAAAAUUUUCUUUGACCAAAAAGGAAGAACUUCACCUUUUCUCUUGCCCUCAUAAAAUGAUCCAUAUGAGUCAAUUCUUUCUUUUCUUUCUUGGGUCCAUCCAACUUGUCCAAAUCAAUAAUUGCGAGUGAGCAUCGGACAAAGAAGAUAAGACAAAAUAAUGGCAACAAUUAUUUAAUUUUAUGUUUAGACUUUUCAACUAACGGUGCCCCAUUAGUUGGUUAGUAAUGAAAAUUAUUAUCUUUUGGCCCCAAAAAAAAAAAAAAACCCCACCCCAUGAGGGAGGGAAGGGAGCGUCAUGGGGCAUAUAUAGUGCUAUGCUCCUAGGAGGGAGCGUCGCGGGGCAUAUAUAGCGCUAUCCUCCACCAAGCAAAAAUUAUCACUUCUUUGCAGGUUGCGUAAGCAUUCGCGCAACAUCAUUCAUCAAUUUGCUCGGUUCUUCUUGUGAGGGUAUAUGUGCAAGCAACUACUUCCACUCACAUUAUAUCUCGCUGAAUUCCGUGUUGAAUCAUUUCAAUCUCGUGCCUGGAUCAUAUGAUCAAUUCAUCAUGAUGAAAAGGUAAAUUGGCUCUUGGAUUGAUGCUUCAUAGUAUGUUUGUAGACUCACGCUCGCAUUGAACUACCUCCACAGAGUUCUCUUGAUGGAGAACAAUAACUGUCCACAAACUCAGUCGAGUUGCCAAUACUUUCCUCCUCCAUUGGCAUGGAUCAAUCAGAAUCCCAUACCAUACGAUGACUAUAAAACUCCAACGUGGGUUAUUGUUGCUUUAGUCAUUGUUGCGGUCACGCUUUGUGUUUUCCUUUUCUGGUGCAUUUGGUGGCCGGGGAAGCAGGGGAAACAGGGGGAAAAGGGGCCGCCGGGGAAGCAGGGGCCACAGGGGCCGCAAGGGCUACAGGGACCAAAGGGGCUGCAAGGGUCGCCAGGGCCACCGGGGCCAAAAGGGCCGCAGGGGCCGCAGGGGCCGCGGGGGCCAAGGGGGCCAUCGUGCUCAUCAUGCUCGUCAUGCUCAACAAGGUCGUCGUGCUCAUCAUGCUCGUCGUGCUCAACAAGGUCGUCGUGCUCGUCGUGCCCGCCGUGCUCGUCGUGCUCGUCGUGCCCGCCGUGCUCAACAGGGUCGCUGUGUUAAUGGCUGUGAGGGCAACGACGGUGGCAAAGUGGGGGUGGCAACAACUACAGUGGGGCAAUUAGCCGGCACGGAUGGCCCAUUUAUUUGUGAGAAGUGCAAGCAUGGAAGAGUACCAGCUUGUCUAAUCUAGACAAUAAAUGAGACAAAAAUUACAAUAGUCUUUCUUAUCUUAAUGUAUGCUUAUGAAUUUAGAAGCUUCUAUUUAUGUUUGUGUGUGAAACUUGAACUAUGCACAAUGAUAGAUCAUCUACCUACUAUACAAUGUUAGAGAUUCAAUGCAAUGAAUAACUUUUGUGUUGGAGGGUUUUUCGAAUUUCUUACAUGAGCAGUUUUCUGGUCAUUGAUAAAUAAAUUUUUGAAUUAUAACGAAUUAUAAUUAUAUGCAUUUUUUUGUAAUUUCUAUACAAAAUGUCGUAAAUCAACCAAUCAAUCCAACAUACAUAAUAAAAGAGUUCCUGCUCUUGGUGGAGAACCGUUUGACAGAUUUGCUUUAUUAUUGCCUUAUAUUCCAAAGAGAGUCAUUGGCACUAAGUCGGCUGGUAAUACCAGCAAAAUAGAACUAAGGAGGCUUGCGAAAUUUUGAAUGGAAGUGCGGUUGCCCUCACAGCCACUGACACGGUGGCAAGCCUCCUCUGAAACAUGAACAUAUCCAAUCAAAGCACGAUUCCUGAAAUAUAAAACUGCAAUCAAUCUUGCAAGAAAGUUUGAAAAAAGGAAUAUUGGAGCAUCUCUUCUUAUCGUACCCCUGGACGAAACCGAUUUGGACGAACCCCGCAGUAAACAUCCAUUUCUCAGAUCAUAUUAUAACACGAAUUGAAGUGUUAUUGACUGGGGCAGUUCUGGGAAAAGCAAGUAAAAUGCUUUGGGCCGAUGAGGACACGACUGGGGCAGAAAUCAUAUUUUUCACGACCACAGAGACCAUAAAAUCAAAUGCUAUUGGUCGAUGAGACAAAAAAAAUCAAAGAUGCCGAUGAGGACGCGAUUGGGACAGACAUCAUAAUUUUUCACGACCACGAAGACCAUAAAAUCAAAUGCUAUUGGUUGAUGAGACAAAAAAUCAAAGAUGUAGCUGACCCAAGCUUUCGAGACUGAGUGCAGGGUAGUCAAAGGAAAAUGCGGAAAAUUUCCCUUACUUGAUGGAUUUCCAAAAUUAUUGAUACAAAGUUCGAGAGAACCGGCAACAAUUCAUCAAAAAUUAACCUAAUGUAAAAUCAAUUUCUUCCCAAGAUUAAAUGGACCAAAAUCGACUCAACUCCUAUAAUAACAGGCAAUAUAUUCCCGCAAUAUAAUCUCAUAAUGAAUAAAAAUAAUGCCAAAAUGAUAAAAACAGACAAAAACAAACACGACAAGUUUAUUUCAAAAAUUAAUGCGGAAAAAAUUAUGGACAAUUCAAAAAAUUUCACUAAUCACAAAAAAAUAGUAAGAUGCACAAAGGUUCUUCUUUAGUAAUACAUUAGAGAUUCAAUAUCAAUAAUAUAAUGACAUUUCGUCACAGUAAAAGCGGAUUAAUACAUAUGAAGUAAGAAACCCUAAUCACAAUUGGAGAAAUUUGAGAUAAUUUAGAAAAAGUUUUCAAUGAACAAAACGGAUUGACAAAUGAAACCGAUGGACUCGCCUGUCUCGACUCAUCUGUCUCGGUCUUAUAACAAUGUAUCAAAAUUUAAGUCAACUCCGACGAUAUUUGGCAGCCCAUUUCCCGUCUUCUCCGAACGAGCAGCCCGCCUUUCUUUUCCUUUAUUGCAUUUUUGACUUUUUGACAUUUUCUUUUAUUUGUUAACAUUAACCGGGCGCCACACAGGCAGACCAGCCAACAUUAAUAUCUAGUACAGUCAAUAAAAAAAAAAAAAGCGGGACCAUCAAUUUGAUUGCCAAAUAACCUAUCAAUAACUUAUCAAUGCCGUUAGAAACUUACCAACUUUGAAAUGAAUUAAAGAAUAACCAACUCUUUGGAAAUUUUACAAGCAUUCUAAAUAAAUUACAAAAACUAUAAUGAGUCAAUUUAUAAACUUACCAACUUCUGGUCACUCUCCUUAUCAUUUUGAUUUUUUCAUUUGUUGAUGAUCUCUAAGUACCCCCUCCAAAUGUCUCUUUUCCAUGUGAUGAAAUUAAACUCAUUCUGUGAUCGACUUGAAUCAGAUGGUUGAAACAGGAGGGUUGUUUUUGGAGGCCUAUAAGGACAAACUACAAGUAAAAUGUAGCUUGUGAUUGAGUGCCUGAAACAAGAAAAAUUGAAACAUAUUGAGUAUUCUUGAGAUGAAUCUCUUUGCUGCUUCAUUAUAAUAUAUUUAGUUUUGAUCCUAAAAGUUAGCAAGGGUGCCAAAAUCAUUUGCAUACACACGGAAGAAGUGGUCGUGCUUAGAGAGAAUGCAAUUGUUUAGGUAAGAGAUGAAAUAUGCGAAUGAUUAUUUGUAAACACUUAGAAGUGUGGUUAAAUAAUUUUUGGGGAGAGUAUGUCUACCGUGUUGUGUGCACAAGGUGUGAGAACAGCUAUUGAAAGAGAUCUAAUAAUUAUUUUGUCUAUAGUGAGAUAGCCAUAGGAGGAGUCGAGUCCACGCGAUACAAGUUCUUAGCAAUUGCACUAUUGGCUGAAGUAGUGAAUUUCAAUCUAAUGGGGCUGCUAGAGCUAGAAGAGAAAGCAUAUCCCAAUUGAAACUCUAUAAAUAGCUUUUGUAAUUUCAUUUUCCCUAAACUCUAUAAGUUCCUUAUUGCAAUUUAAUAGUUCAAUUGCAUAUAAAAAAACAUUUUUAAAUAAGGUGCUGGUUCUAGAAAGAUAAAUAUUUUUAUAUGUAUAAAAAAACACUUCACCCCUUCUUUUAUGUAUUUGGACCUAACAAUAUGGAUUGCCAUGUUGGAGGUGUCAAAUUUUGUAAUACUACAAUAAUGUAACUUGCGAACCUUGUUAAUAAUUUAAAGGAUUUUACUAAGGACAAUGAAAAAAAAUCAUUAUUUUUGAAUUUUUUUAUGAGAACUUGAGAUGGAGUUCGAAGGUUUACACUAUUAUUUAGUUUUUAAUAUUAGAGUUGGAUCUAGUCUGAUGCGAGUAAAUAUAUUGUAUUGAGUUGGGUGCGAGCACAAGAUUGAGAAAACCGAAUUGUCAUAUUUUCGAGAUAAUUGCACAAUCUCUCCUCAAAUUAUUAUACCGAAAUUUUAAACCUAUCAAGGUAUAAACUUUUUAACUGAAAUAACGCGGUAUUAAACUUACAAGGGAAAGUGCAAUAAAACAUUUUAGCUAAAUCUCAUUGAAAUCAUCUAACGUGACGUUUCAAUUAUUUUCGACUACUUAAGUGUAACGAUGACAGCAUGACAUGAUAAGACGAUGAUGUUUUUCUUCUGAUUUAAGCACCUGAUAGAGAAAUGUCAAUAGGCUUAUUUGUGGAAUUUAAUGCUCUCCCUUGCGCCUGAUUGUAGGCCAAGGCACGAAAUAAUAUAAUGGGAAUCCACCCUUGUCCGAAAGUAGAUGCGCUAUCUAAUCAUUCAUUGUCUCGGUAAAAGGCGAUGAUCACAUGCUUCAGUUGGCCAGCAAUUAGUACACUGCUAAGCUGUCAUCAAAAUAGGAUUGCAUCUCCAUAAUUUUAUCCGUUUGUUUGUUGAUGUGAUAGCUAAGAAAAAUCGUCCGUACAUGUUGCUUCUUUUGGCUUUACAUAAUCUCCUCCAUUCAAAAGGUGCACCAGUGGAGGUACCAUACAUCCUCGACGACGGCGGCGGCCACCAUGAGGUUGUUGACACCUCAUCAGGCUUUGCCAACGAUGAGGUUGUUGGUGCCUCACCAGCGUUCUCCCGCGAUCGCGGCGAUGAGGUCGGCGUCGCGGCCUUCCCCCGUUGCGGCGAUUGCGGCACUGACGUUAUUUUUGGAAUAUUAAGCUUCAAUAUCAAUUUCGGUGAAGUGGCGGUUCUGUCCCCGGGACCACGACAAUUUUUUAUAAUAACACCGACGGCUACGGCGACGACAAUGAUGACUACGCUGACGGUGAUCCACCUCGAAGUGUCCCGGCAUGCAGCGAUGUCGCUUUCCAAAGAUACAGAAACUGGAACGUCCCCUGCUGAUGGAGGAGGAAGGAUGGGAAAGCCGAACAACCUUGUGGACAGUUAUUGCUCCCCAUCAGGAAAAUCCUCCUGUAGUUCAACGCCAGCGGUGAGCCUGCAAACAUUUUUCGAAGCAUCGUUCAUACCACAAAAAGAAAAAAAAAAAAGGUGGUAAUUUUAAAAAAAGAUGGUACCUUAUUAGAAAAGAAACAUUAUUUUUUUUUAUCACAAUAGAUUGGGAAGAUUAUAUGUUUUAAGCGUGAGAUCAAGAUAAUCGAAAAGCCGAACAGUCAAACUGAUGAGCUAAAUGCAUCUUUUCAAUCCACGGGGUAUCCAACCACCACAAGAUAGAAAAAUGUUUGCAGACUCACCGCUUGCGUUGUACUGCAAGAGGGUUUUCCUGAUGGAGAGCAAUAACUGUCCAGAAGCUUGCCCGGGUUUCCAGUACUUCCCUCCUCCAUCGGCAUGGGACAUUCCGGUUUCUGUAUCUUUGGAAAGCAAAAUUGAUGUUUGCCGGGAGACUUCGAGGUGGAUCUCCGUCAGCGUGGUCAUCGUUGUUGUCGUCAUAGCCGCCGGUGUUGUUAUAAAAAAUCGCCGUGGUCCUCGGAAUACAAUCGCCAUUCCAUCGAAAAAGAUAUGGAAGCUUAAGAUUCAAGUGGUGCCGCCGUAGCUGUUGCCGCCACCAUUGCGACAGCCAUCGCAGCUGCCGUCGCCACGGCCGUCACAGCCAGUGUCCCAGCCACCAUCGCAGCCGCUGUCGCCACCGCUGCUGUGCUAUCCGUGUCAUACGCUGUCACCGCCAUCAUCGCUGUGGUCGCCGCCGCUGCUGUGUCAUCCAUGUCAUACACUGUUGUCGCUGCACUAUCCAUGUGAUCCGUGUUAUUGUCAUUAGAUAAAUAAAUUACCAUACAUGGUAAUUGAAUGAUGCAUAACGAUAGAUCGUCUAUACUUAGCAUGGGCACUUCUAAGUCCUAUGAAUUGUAAUUUGAUUUUUCAAUCCAAUUAUGUAAUUAUCUUGGAGAUGCCACUAACUUAUGAUAAAUAAAUUAGCAAUCCAAGUAAGAUGUGGGAGUACAUUUCACUCCUAUGAACUAAAGAUUCACCGAUCGAUUUAGUUGCAUUAGAUCUUCUAGUAUGAAAACAAUUUACAUGCAAACUUCACCAAUUUUAUUCCUUAAAUCCUCUAAACAUAUAAAAAGUGAUUAUGCAUAGUCACUCAAGUAACAAAAAUAAACAAGCAAGCAAUUACAGUAGAAAGCUAAUAAAAGAAAUGAAUGACAAGAAAAGUAAAGGACACAAGUGGCAUCGGGCAAAAUUAAGCAAAACCUGGUUAUUAAGGCCCGGGACAAGCCCCGUGAGCUACAAAUGUAAAUUCGAUAUAAGCUCUCCAAGGGAUGCCUGAUGCUCAAAUAGAAAGUGAAUGUAUGACAUGUCAUGACCAUCUACUAAAUAAAUUACAUUGCUAAAAUGAAUUGUCGCAUGUGAAAAAUAAAUCUAUAAAAUGCAAUAUAAAGUGCAGUGCGAUAUUAAGAAAACAAAUCUAUUUGUGAUCGUGCAUGGUACCUAAAAUGCACCCUUAAAAAUACUUUUAAUUUUUUUUUAAUAUUUUAAGACGCAAAAAGAAAAACUAAGAAAAUUAACUAAGUGUCGAAAUGGACAUGAACUAAAGCUUAUGUGCUUGAAUCAACCUAUAUUCCAUAUUUGCAUAGUAACUUGGACACCAAAAUCACAAAUAAAAAUUAUCCACUCCAACAUUGGUGGUGUCAUGUAAAAUGACCAGGUGACAUGACCAAUUUUCCAUACCAAAAGCCGCCACCAAUAAUGGAGGACAGAAGGGAGCCAUUAUAAUGAGAGGUCACCUAAUGAAAAUUCGCACUUCUUUGCUGAUAGUAUAAGAAUAAUACCAAUAACACCACACACCUUGGUUGUUCUUAAUGAGGUACACACAAGCACCCCCUUUGACUCUUCGUUUUAUACUAUAUUAUACUUCAUUCCAUUUUCAACCAUCUCCUUCUCGUGCUCGCGUCAUAUAAUCUUCUGGGUUUAUGUGAUCAAAAUAGUGUUUAUUUUCUAAUAAAGCACCCUCCUUUAGAACAACUACUUCUUUUCUUGUGUGAAUUGAUGCUUCAAAAUAUGUUUGUGAACUCAUCGCUUGCUUUUAACUAAGCAGGACUUUCUUGAUGGAGAACUAUAACUGUCCACAGAAUUGUUCAGGUUGCCCGUGCUUCCCCUCUUCAUUUGUCCCGAAUUCGGUCUCGUCCGACGACAAGAACAUUUCAUGGUGGGAUGCUCCUGGAUGGGUCAUCGUCGGCAUAGUUGUCGUCGCGGUUGAAAUCUGUGGUUUCCUCUUCUACGUUCGUCGUGGUCCUGAGGACGCAGAAAUCACUCUCCCAGUUGACGCGGAAAUCUCCCUUUAAUAGGACACUGCGAGCAUUUCGUUUCCGUUGUCGUUAGCGUUCUUCUCCUGAGACAAUAAGAUCAAGCUUCAGGGCAUGUGUCUGUGUGAAACUCGAAUAAUUUAUAGUGACAGGUCGUCUAUUCUAUUAUCCAACAUUGGAGAUUUGAUGCAACAAAUAAUUGUGUUGGAGG
rnacentral:lncRNA from 1 species